rnacentral:ncRNA from 1 species
GUCCAGCUUGAGAAUCGGGCGCCACCGGCGUUCGAAUUGUAGUCUAGAGAAGCGUCAUCAGCGGUGGACCGGGCUCAAGUCCCCAAGAAAGGGGCGCCGGAGAGGGUGAGAGCCCCAUCGUGCCCGAACCUUGUCGUACCACGAGGCACUGUCUACGAGUCGGGUUGUUUGGGAAUGUAACACCCCGAACCCGAGAC